rnacentral:rRNA from 1 species
GGUUAAGCGACUAAGCGUACACGGUGGAUGCCCUGGCAGUCAGAGGCGAUGAAGGACGUGCUAAUCUGCGAUAAGCGUCGGUAAGGUGAUAUGAACCGUUAUAACCGGCGAUUUCCGAAUGGGGAAACCCAGUGUGAUUCGUCACACUAUCAUUAACUGAAUCCAUAGGUUAAUGAGGCGAACCGGGGGAACUGAAACAUCUAAGUACCCCGAGGAAAAGAAAUCAACCGAGAUUCCCCCAGUAGCGGCGAGCGAACGGGGAGCAGCCCAGAGCCUGAAUCAGUGUGUGUGUUAGUGGAAGCGUCUGGAAAGGCGCGCGAUACAGGGUGACAGCCCCGUACACAAAAAUGCACAUACUGUGAGCUCGAUGAGUAGGGCGGGACACGUGGUAUCCUGUCUGAAUAUGGGGGGACCAUCCUCCAAGGCUAAAUACUCCUGACUGACCGAUAGUGAACCAGUACCGUGAGGGAAAGGCGAAAAGAACCCCGGCGAGGGGAGUGAAAAAGAACCUGAAACCGUGUACGUACAAGCAGUGGGAGCCUCUUUUAUGGGGUGACUGCGUACCUUUUGUAUAAUGGGUCAGCGACUUAUAUUCUGUAGCAAGGUUAACCGAAUAGGGGAGCCGAAGGGAAACCGAGUCUUAACCGGGCGUUAAGUUGCAGGGUAUAGACCCGAAACCCGGUGAUCUAGCCAUGGGCAGGUUGAAGGUUGGGUAACACUAACUGGAGGACCGAACCGACUAAUGUUGAAAAAUUAGCGGAUGACUUGUGGCUGGGGGUGAAAGGCCAAUCAAACCGGGAGAUAGCUGGUUCUCCCCGAAAGCUAUUUAGGUAGCGCCUCGUGAAUUCAUCUCCGGGGGUAGAGCACUGUUUCGGCAAGGGGGUCAUCCCGACUUACCAACCCGAUGCAAACUGCGAAUACCGGAGAAUGUUAUCACGGGAGACACACUGCGGGUGCUAACGUCCGUCGUGAAGAGGGAAACAACCCAGACCGCCAGCUAAGGUCCCAAAGUCAUGGUUAAGUGGGAAACGAUGUGGGAAGGCCCAGACAGCCAGGAUGUUGGCUUAGAAGCAGCCAUCAUUUAAAGAAAGCGUAAUAGCUCACUGGUCGAGUCGGCCUGCGCGGAAGAUGUAACGGGGCUAAACCAUGCACCGAAGCUGCGGCAGCGACACUGUGUGUUGUUGGGUAGGGGAGCGUUCUGUAAGCCUGUGAAGGUGUACUGUGAGGUAUGCUGGAGGUAUCAGAAGUGCGAAUGCUGACAUAAGUAACGAUAAAGCGGGUGAAAAGCCCGCUCGCCGGAAGACCAAGGGUUCCUGUCCAACGUUAAUCGGGGCAGGGUGAGUCGACCCCUAAGGCGAGGCCGAAAGGCGUAGUCGAUGGGAAACAGGUUAAUAUUCCUGUACUUGGUGUUACUGCGAAGGGGGGACGGAGAAGGCUAUGUUGGCCGGGCGACGGUUGUCCCGGUUUAAGCGUGUAGGCUGGUUUUCCAGGCAAAUCCGGAAAAUCAAGGCUGAGGCGUGAUGACGAGGCACUACGGUGCUGAAGCAACAAAUGCCCUGCUUCCAGGAAAAGCCUCUAAGCAUCAGGUAACAUCAAAUCGUACCCCAAACCGACACAGGUGGUCAGGUAGAGAAUACCAAGGCGCUUGAGAGAACUCGGGUGAAGGAACUAGGCAAAAUGGUGCCGUAACUUCGGGAGAAGGCACGCUGAUAUGUAGGUGAAGUCCCUCGCGGAUGGAGCUGAAAUCAGUCGAAGAUACCAGCUGGCUGCAACUGUUUAUUAAAAACACAGCACUGUGCAAACACGAAAGUGGACGUAUACGGUGUGACGCCUGCCCGGUGCCGGAAGGUUAAUUGAUGGGGUCAGCGCAAGCGAAGCUCUUGAUCGAAGCCCCGGUAAACGGCGGCCGUAACUAUAACGGUCCUAAGGUAGCGAAAUUCCUUGUCGGGUAAGUUCCGACCUGCACGAAUGGCGUAAUGAUGGCCAGGCUGUCUCCACCCGAGACUCAGUGAAAUUGAACUCGCUGUGAAGAUGCAGUGUACCCGCGGCAAGACGGAAAGACCCCGUGAACCUUUACUAUAGCUUGACACUGAACAUUGAGCCUUGAUGUGUAGGAUAGGUGGGAGGCUUUGAAGUGUGGACGCCAGUCUGCAUGGAGCCGACCUUGAAAUACCACCCUUUAAUGUUUGAUGUUCUAACGUGGACCCGUGAUCCGGGUUGCGGACAGUGUCUGGUGGGUAGUUUGACUGGGGCGGUCUCCUCCUAAAGAGUAACGGAGGAGCACGAAGGUUGGCUAAUCCUGGUCGGACAUCAGGAGGUUAGUGCAAUGGCAUAAGCCAGCUUGACUGCGAGCGUGACGGCGCGAGCAGGUGCGAAAGCAGGUCAUAGUGAUCCGGUGGUUCUGAAUGGAAGGGCCAUCGCUCAACGGAUAAAAGGUACUCCGGGGAUAACAGGCUGAUACCGCCCAAGAGUUCAUAUCGACGGCGGUGUUUGGCACCUCGAUGUCGGCUCAUCACAUCCUGGGGCUGAAGUAGGUCCCAAGGGUAUGGCUGUUCGCCAUUUAAAGUGGUACGCGAGCUGGGUUUAGAACGUCGUGAGACAGUUCGGUCCCUAUCUGCCGUGGGCGCUGGAGAACUGAGGGGGGCUGCUCCUAGUACGAGAGGACCGGAGUGGACGCAUCACUGGUGUUCGGGUUGUCAUGCCAAUGGCACUGCCCGGUAGCUAAAUGCGGAAGAGAUAAGUGCUGAAAGCAUCUAAGCACGAAACUUGCCCCGAGAUGAGUUCUCCCUGACCCUUUAAGGGUCCUGAAGGAACGUUGAAGACGACGACGUUGAUAGGCCGGGUGUGUAAGCGCAGCGAUGCGUUGAGCUAACCGGUACUAAUGAACCGUGAGGCUUAACCUU